CAGUAGCCGCGGGAAAACGAAGGGGGCUAGCGUUGCUCGGAAUUACUGGGCGUAAAGGGAGCGUAGGCGGACAUUUGAGUCAGGGGUGAAAUCCCAGAGCUCAACUCUGGAACUGCCUUUGAUACUGGGUGUCUUGAGUGUGAUAGAGGUAUGUGGAACUCCGAGUGUAGAGGUGAAAUUCGUAGAUAUUCGGAAGAACACCAGUGGCGAAGGCGACAUACUGGAUCAUUACUGACGCUGAGGCUCGAAAGCGUGGGGAGCAAACAGGAUUAGAUACCCCCGUAGUCCCUGUCUCUUAUAC
rnacentral:rRNA from 1 species